GCUGGCAGAGCUCAGUGUUUUGCACUGCUGUGCAGUGUUUGCCUCCUGGUGAACAGUUCCUCGGGCACAGGAAAGUCAAGUUGCUGAAAAGUUACAGCCAGUUCCUUUAGCAUCCUAUUUAGGAAGAGCAGAAAAGAGACAAGUCAGGACAUUCUGCAUGUCUACAGGACAGCACAAGAGUCUCAGAGGUACCAGUUUUCCGGAUGAAGUGUUAGAGCAGAGGACAGCCUUCCAGAUGGAAACAAAACUAAGCAGCAGAAAGUCCUGGCUUGGCAAGAUGCUGACAUUCCAUUUAGAUAUUCAUUGGAAUAUCUAAUUCAACUGGUUUCAAAUCGGUCACUAGGGACAAUUAGACAACUUUCCCAGUGGCACCAAAGUCCAGAAGGAAGCACCAAGAACUCCAUCUCCUUGAUCUUUAAAGGCCACUGAGGGCAGUCCAACAUCAGUGGGAAACUGGUUGGUGCUGUUCCAUUGCAGCAUGGAUCCCAGCAUCCUGCUGAAAACUGGAGGUGCUGCUUUCACCUGCCUUCCUACUACUCUUAGAGGAUGAGAUAUUUUGGAGAGCACUCUGGGACUGCCACAGGUGUUAGCAGCCAUUUGGUGAAAAUCUCCAAAAGAUUUUUUCCAGCCCCAGUGCAACCAUGCUCAGACAAAAGAUAUCUUUCACUAAAGACUCUUUAGUGGAUCCCCAGUUUUUUUUGAGAAAGAAAGAAAGGAAAGGAAAGAAAGGAAAGAAAGGAAAGAAAGGAAGAAAGGCUACCCUGCAAUAUGCAGACAUUUUUUUCUUAUAAAAAUUGGUCUUCCUUAGUAUGCAACUGAAUGCUUGGGAGGCCUGUAGUGUGACUGAAUACACAGAAUCUUUUACGUAGUAUCAACUCUCUACUUAAAAAGAGGGACUGCAAAUUAGGUAUAUUCUAAAAAUCCGAUCCAGAGGUUAACCCUUUCUUAAAAAAGAUGUCAUUUUCAAAAUAUUUAACUUUUUUUUUUCCAUAUGAGAAUGCACACCAAAAAUAGUUCCCACUUUUUGAAUGAGUAUUUUCACUGUGAUCUAGUCACCUUUUAAAAUUAUAUUUUAAAUAUGAAAACCUGACUAAGUUGCAUGUAUACAUUAGAGUCCCACCUGAUAUGUGCCUUUUUUUUCCUGGUAGUUGUUAUUAUAUAAUCACAAUCUUGCUGUUUAGGAACGUGGGGCACAGGGAAGUAACAAUAUUUAUCAAAGGAUGCAUGGUAAGGCCCUGUCUGUAAAAAACAGAGGAGGCCAGCAUUGUCACACAUUCAUGAUCUUCACAAAUGCUAAGCCCUGUCCUUGCUUAUUUGCUCUUUAUUUCAUCUAGAUUCAAACAAAAAUAUCAGGCAGCUUAUUAAAAUCGGUCAAAUAUUUGUGAAGACUCACAGCAAUAUUUCUGUAAAUGGUGUGAAGACAGAUGUGCAGCAGAAGGUAACAAACCGACCACAAUACAACUAGAAGUUUAAAGCUAAAACUACCGUAAGGUUAAAGCAGACCUCAGCUCUGCAAAUCUGCAGAAGGCAGUUUACAAAGCCAGACUCUCUAAUGAGCAAUCAGCAAUUCCUGCAUUAUUUAUUUCUGUAUUGUUCUGGUAUUUCCAGAGAACAUAGAAAUAAUAAUAAUUAUAAAAAUCUCCUAAUGCUCAAUGGAGCUGUGGCUUGAGCUGAUGCUAAAAGUCUGCCUGUAAUUCUUCCAAGGGAUUUCACUACAUCCUUAUGUGACGUGAUACAAAAAUGCCUUGUACAACCCUCUCCAGAGUUUGAAAUUUUGAAGUGUUAGUUUAUAUCACAGAGUCACAUUUGGAACUUACCAGUGUUCAGGUGCUUGACAGUAAUACUAGAGGGCUGCCACUGGCAUUUCCCUGGCUCCUCGUGGUGCUAAGGGGAAAAACAAGGGUUUCUGGAAUGCCUCUUGUCUGAUUAAUAAUACCAGCAGGGAUACCCCUGAAAGAAACUCCGAAGGUUUCUGGUAAGAGACAGCACAUGUGCACGCUGGAGCAGCAAGUCCAGACACAGAGCAGUGUGCUUUGCCUUCUUGCGAUGAGGUUCCUUCUACUCCACAUACUUCCUUUGCAGUAUAGUCAGAUAUACAAUUUGUAAAAAGAACAACCAGCCCGUAGGUCUAAAAAAUAAUAAUUAGCAGUGACUAAUAUCUGUGUAGGUUUCUCACCUAGCAGCAGCCCCUCUCGUUUGAAUUCACACCUAAGUCCUUGUGAUGUUCUGGUUUCCUGGUUUAUGUUGGUACUAAAAGGUAUAAGCUGGCAGAGGAAGUGACAGUCCUAGUUUUGUGCAGAGCUACAAACUUUCCUUUGCAAAGGCACCCUGAGGGCAUAUGUACCAUUUUAAGUGCUAUCUAAUGCUUUCUUCUCUGAAGAGUUGAUACAGAGAUUGUUAUAAGUCAUGUCAAGGGCCAGGUUAAAUUAAUCAUCAUAAACCAUAGCUAUUUUUUCAGAUUACAGUUGAGUUUUCUUUAGGAUGUCAUUACAGUGUGUGGGAAACUUUUCUUCCCCACAUAAGUCUAAACAUGACCUUGCUUUGUAAUAAUGCCUGCUGGUCUCAACCUAGUUAGGCCAUGUAUGCUAGAUACUCAAAAAUUUAAAAAAGAAAAAAAUAUAGUUCUCGAUCCAAAAUGCUUAUAAGCAAAAAAAUUUUUGAGAUAUUAAUGCAAAACCUGGAAUGUGGUUAGAAGGGCUGAAGCGGAAUACUUGCGUUUUAGUCACAUUCCCCCUUGUGGUCUGUGGACUUCUAUUACCAUCUUUUUCACCCAUGUUCAGUCUCGGGAGGCUCUCCCAAACAAAAAACACAGACACAAUAAUAGUUCACAGACAGGAAUAACGAAGAUAUCACAAAGCAUCUACAGAACUUGUCCAGCUUUUUUACUAUUCCUAUUAAACAUGCACCAACUCACCAGCAGGUUACAAUUGAGAUUUCUCAAGUCAGGGAAGUACAUAUAUAAUGUAUAUUUUUUAGAGUACUUCUGCUAUGUCUUAGUGGUUUCUAUACUUAGGUCCAUGCUUAUAACUUAACCUGUGACUGCAUGUGCCAAAAAGUAACCAGUUGCCCUCCUGUCCCCAAAGCUGUUACGAGAACAGAGCAGACUCAUUUUAGAUAUUUCCAAUGUAGCUACCAAAGCUAUUUCUCCAUUCCAGAAGGCAAAUAACCCGAUCCAUGUAGGUAUCUAUCUUCAGAUUAAAUAAAUUCUUUAAUAGUAGGGUUGAAUUCAGCUCUAAAAUAAUGUAACUAAAUUUAGGAGUCCAGAUAUAGAGGAAUAGAUGUUACCCAGGUGUUAAGUUUCCCUUAUAGUUAAUAUUUGGCUACCAGCCAAAGGUGCUGGAUUGACCUGCUUAUGUACGCCUCAAUGCCAUCUUUGAUGCAGCAUGGCGUCUGAAACAUUCACGUGUGGUUGGCAGAACAGACACAAGACCUCUAAGAGAUCAGCCUCCUUCAAGAGAAGCAGCUGGAGACCAGGAAUUUUCAAGCAUCUCAGAUGACCCUAAAUGUCAAUGGGCAAGAAACUGAGUAAAGUUUUAGGUGUUUACUUUAAGGUGAGCUGAAUAUGUCUAGGAUCCAUAGAUGGCAUCUAUUGAUUAUAAUGGAAGCUCAGACAUUAGGCUCAUAUGUAAUUUACACACAGGCAGCUUCCUUGUCUCAGGAUGGUAAACCAGAUGGAAAGAACCGUAUUCCAGGGAACAUUUGUGGCAGAAAAAUGCUUUUAUUUCUAUUUAAAUUUAUGCAAAGAUGACUGAUGCAUUUUUAGUUGUAAAUAUCCUAAAUUUCUGAGCUCUUCCUAUAGACAGUGAAUUUCUCAGGGAUGUAAGAUACCAAAUGUGAGUUCAACUAAGGGCUUACAUGAUAAUUUCUAAAACAGUUACUUUAUCUGUAUCUUCAUGAGCAAAAGUCUGGGAAAAGCUGUAAACUCAAAUUCGAGAAACAAUUAAAAAUUUCACUGGUGGAAGAAGUAAAAUUAAGUGUGACUUAGUAGCAGAAAAUUUCCAGUAAGAAAAAACAAAACCCAAGCACUGGGGAGAACAGCACACAUUUGGUGCUCAUGGAGAAAAGGAAUUAAUUUUACAUGAACUAUGUUCUUCAUGCAACCACUGUUGCCUGUAGUAUUUCUGAUUCUAAUGACUGUUACAUGGAAGCAGCAAUUUGUUCCAGGGUUACAAAUACCUGUUUGUGUGACAGUUGUUAUCUGACCCAGGUUGAUGUAGCUGGCAGAGAUAGAUGAGGGCACAAUUUGACCACAGACACUUCCCUUGUUCUAUUGUAAGCAAAACCCAGAAAGCAUCAUAAGUUAACAAAAACUCCUAGGGAAAAUAAAAUAUUUUCCAACUUGCCCUGUCAAAAACAUCUUUUCUCCAGGGACCUCUGAUUCUCUUUUGUCUCUGUAUACAUAUAAAGAAAAUGCAAAUAAUGCAAGAUCAUUAAUGUAAGAUUAUUACUACAGCAACAAUUCAUAAGCAAGGCUGUGAAAUUUGCUGUUGCUCAAUGGCAAUGGAUGGUAGAUGUUGCCAAGAUCUAUGUCCAGUGUCCACUCUGGACUUGAAUUUGAGCAUGGAGACUGGUAACCUGGGAAGUGAUUGUGCUUCUGUUCACAUUUCAGUUUCUGAUACCAGAUAUAGGUCAACUAGGCUGUAAAAUGGGAGAAAGAUACUGUAACAAACAUCUACUCAGGAGUAGAGAUCUAAGCUGAACUCAGAAGCAGUGAUGGCACUUAGAGAUGACAAUAGAAGAGAGGCUUUUCAGGGACUUACUUUGGUCUUUCACAGAUCAGUUACCAUUUAGCCAGCCCAGAGCAGCCACUGACAGCUCUCACAGCGUGCCAGACAAAUGUCAUAGAGAAACUGAACACAGUAAGCCUCUUAAGUGAAAGUCAAUGACCAUUAACUCACUAAGUCAGAUUAAGUCUGCACAGAAUUGUCAGAAUAAACUGUGUGUUGAGGAGUAUCAAAGACAUAAUUAAAGGUAUUUGUAAAAAGGACAGGAGGAAUUACUGGUCACCAGGACACAACCCUUUUCCUCCUUUUACCCAGGUUCUUCUAAAUGGCUUCAGAUAAAGCAAAGCGAGUGUGUUUAAGAAGUCAAGAUCUAGGCUAAGAGGAAAUAUUACUGUAAGAAAUGUGCAUUGGACUCUCUCAGUGCCAUCAUUGCUUCUGAGUUCAGCUUUUUGAGUGUUGUUUUUUUCAUACCAAUUAGCACCACUCAUUCUCCUGAUCUGACUCUCUCAACAGCAUUUGCCAACCCCAACUCAGUCCAUUCUAUGGCUUGUGGCAUCACUAUUUUUGUUGUAAUGCUUCAAAAAAUGUUCUGCUGUUACACGAACAUAUUUGCUCAUACAAUAGCUGAGCCUAUACACUGUAUGCAGUCAUAGCUGUGUCCAAUACUUGUGACAGACACGGACGUUGGCUUUGCUUUAGAUAGAGGACAAGAAUAAGAAUGUCUAGGAAAAAUUAUGCAAGCAAAUAUGUUAUGCUUCAGCAAUAUGUCAAUUAGAAGUAUUCCACUAAAUGAAGAUACUCAAUUUUUACUCUAGAAACAGUAUCCCAAAUCUCUCUGUGAACCUAUUGAGUUUUAAAACUUAAUUUGUUGCUUGCUGUUGGUAUUUGAAUCAAGGUCUGCCCUAAUCUGGCACCUCAUGUGCCUUGUAUUUUCAGUGAACAGUUAUACACUACUGAUAAAUUUUUCUAAGUACCUUUUCCUCUUUACUCAGAAAGAACCAACCAAUCCAUGUUAUUUAUACAUUUUCUCUCUAGAUAUUAUCUUAGUUCUACACUGAUAAAUUGCGAUUUCAAAUUUCUGUUAGAAUGAGGAACAACAGUCAUUCUAUAUUGCUGAUGUUAACACCCUUGGUUUAAUUUUGUAGGGAUUUGAGUGACUCAGCAUCACAUCCCUCAUGAUUAGGAAACGUUUUGCAGUUUCGCUUUACAAUAUAUCAAUAAAAUUUUAUCUUUCCCUUAA